AGAUUGAACGCUGGCGGCAUGCUUUACACAUGCCUGUCGAACGGCCGCACGGACUUCGGUCUGGUGGCGAGUGGCGAACGGGUGAGUAAUACAUCGGAACGCGUCCUGUAAUGGGGGAUAACCUGGCGAAAGCCAGGCUAAUACCGCAUAAUCUCUGAGGAGAAAAGCAGGGGAUCGCAAGACCUUGCGCUUUAGGAGCGGCCGAUGCCUGAUUAGCUAGUAGGUGAGGUAAAAGCUCACCUAGGCGACGAUCCGUAGCUGGUCUGAGAGGACGACCAGCCACACUGGGACUGAGACACGGCCCAGACUCCUACGGGAGGCAGCAGUGGGGAAUUUUGGACAAUGGGGGGAACCCUGAUCCAGCAAUGCCGCGUGUGUGAAGAAGGCCUGCGGGUUGUAAAGCACUUUCAAUUGGGAAGAAAGAUUUAGAGUUAAUACCUCUUAAUAUUGACGUUACCAAUAGAAGAAGCACCGGCUAACUCUGUGCCAGCAGCCGCGGUAAUACAGAGGGUGCAAGCGUUAAUCGGAAUUACUGGGCGUAAAGCGUUCGUAGGCGGUCUAUUAAGCAAGAUGUGAAAGCCCAGGGCUCAACCUUGGAACUGCAUUUUGAACUGGUAGACUAGAGUACUGUAGAGGGUGGUGGAAUUUCCAGUGUAGCGGUGAAAUGCGUAGAGAUUGGAAGGAACAUCAGUGGCGAAGGCGGCCACCUGGACAGAUACUGACGCUGAGGAACGAAAGCGUGGGGAGCGAACAGGAUUAGAUACCCUGGUAGUCCACGCCGUAAACGAUGUCAACUAGCCGUUUGGAGGACUUGAUCCUUUAGUGGCGCAGCUAACGCGUUAAGUUGACCGCCUGGGGAGUACGGCCGCAAGGUUAAAACUCAAAUGAAUUGACGGGGACCCGCACAAGCGGUGGAUUAUGUGGAUUAAUUCGAUUCAACGCGAAAAACCUUACCUACCCUUGACAUGUAUCGAAGUCCGCAGAAAAGCGGAGGUGCCCGAAAGGGAACGAUAACACAGGUGCUGCAUGGCUGUCGUCAGCUCGUGUCGUGAGAUGUUGGGUUAAGUCCCGCAACGAGCGCAACCCUUGUCAUUAAUUGCCAUCAUUUAGUUGGGCACUUUAAUGAGACUGCCGGUGACAAACCGGAGGAAGGUGGGGAUGACGUCAAGUCCUCAUGGCCCUUAUGGGUAGGGCUUCACACGUAAUACAAUGGCGCGUACAGAGGGUUGCCAACCCGCGAGGGGGAGCUAAUCUCAGAAAGCGCGUCGUAGUCCGGAUCGGAGUCUGCAACUCGACUCCGUGAAGUCGGAAUCGCUAGUAAUCGCGGAUCAGCAUGUCGCGGUGAAUACGUUCCCGGGCCUUGUACACACCGCCCGUCACACCAUGGGAGUGGGUUCCACCAGAAGCAGGUAGUCUAACCGCAAGGAGGGCGCUUGCCACGGUGAGAUUCAUGACU
rnacentral:rRNA from 1 species